CUGGCGGCGUGCCUAACACAUGCAAGUCGAGCGCGAAUGGGAGCAAUCCCUAGUAGAGCGGCGCACGGGUGCGUAACACGUGUGUAAUCUGCCUGGAACCCCGGGACAACCCUCCGAAAGGAUGGCUAAUACCGGAUAAGCCUACGGGAUCCUCGGAUCCUGAAGGAAAAGGUGGCCUCUGUAUACUAGCUAUCACUUCCACAUGAGCCCGCGGCCCAUCAGCUAGUUGGCGGGGUAAUGGCCCACCAAGGCUACGACGGGUAGCUGGUCUGAGAGGACGAUCAGCCACACUGGAACUGAGACACGGUCCAGACUCCUACGGGAGGCAGCAGUGGGGAAUUUUGCACAAUGGGCGAAAGCCUGAUGCAGCAACGCCGCGUGUGUGAUGAAGGUCUUCGGAUUGUAAAGCACUUUCGACCGGGACGAAACACCCUUGGCUAACAUCCAAGGGCCUGACGGUACCGGGAGAAGAAGCACCGGCUAACUCUGUGCCAGCAGCCGCGGUAAUACAGAGGGUGCAAGCGUUGUUCGGAAUUAUUGGGCGUAAAGCGCGUGUAGGCGGCUUGGCAAGUCGGGUGUGAAAUCCCUCAGCUUAACUGAGGAAGUGCGCCCGAAACUGCCGAGCUUGAGUACCGGAGAGGGUGGCGGAAUUCCCCAAGUAGAGGUGAAAUUCGUAGAUAUGGGGAGGAACACCGGUGGCGAAGGCGGCCACCUGGACGGAUACUGACGCUGAGACGCGAAAGCGUGGGGAGCAAACAGGAUUAGAUACCCUGGUAGUCCACGCCGUAAACGAUGAGAACUAGGUGUCGUGGGUGUUGACCCCCGCGGUGCCGUAGCUAACGCAUUAAGUUCUCCG
rnacentral:rRNA from 1 species